CCACAUUUGGGCCGAAAGUGGUGCAUUUUCCCGUGCGUAAUACAAAACAAUAUAAAAUUUGCAAAUUUCGCAGGGCUAUAUUCUCCUCAUUUUACAACAUUUCGCAACCAACUUUUGCAAUUUUACUAAUUUUAAGACGCUCUUUCUAGCUGUAGUGAUGGAUUUCGUUUUUCUUGCCUAGAUCAGAAUUACGUCUACAGCUGGAAUCGCAUUAGCAUCGCGUGCGCCUGGCUUUAGCAAAGAUCAUAAAUUCUAAUCAGUUUCGAGAUUGUUUUACUUAAGGUGUCCAGUCUGGCUUAAUAUCACCAGCACAAUGAUAGUCAAUAUAAUAAGAAUAACCACGAUCAAAAUCAAACACAUUUUCGUGUUUUUCCACCACAUUAUUCGUCGUACUCUCACUGCACUUGUUCGGAAGGUACUCGCCUGCAUG